rfam:TPA: Bos taurus chromosome 20, whole genome shotgun sequence.
UCCUGGGGGACUCAGUGGUAAAGAACCUGCCUGCCAAGUAGGAGACACAGGUUUGAUCCCUGGUCUGGGAA